AUGGGCCGCUUGAAUCAUAGGCGUUUCUCAGUGCCUAGGCUGGACAGGUCUUCUUCUAGUGUCUCCAUAGGAAAGAAUGGAUCAACUCAGUCAACUACACAGGCUAAAAAAGCUAGAACACCAAGAACUAGGACUUCGGCCGGUCUCAGACUAGAAGAAAUUGACCGACCUCUUAUAGUUCCCAAAGGCGUGUUAUGGGAAAGGCACCCAUACAUCGCUCGUGAUCCAUCAACGGUGCAAGGUGCCUUAGUGCGGCAGAUGUAUCCACCGCCAAUUGGUCCAAAAAAUGACCAGAAACCAGUAUUGUGUUGGGAGGACUACAAGUGGUCCCCUGGCCCGGAAGUAAGAUCAUCAGCUUCCAAAAUUGUGGAAGAAUUUUGGUGGCGUUUCAAGUGUGACCCAUUGGAGCAAGAGAAGGCAGAUGGUGUUUUGGAGGAGAACUUGACUAGGAAAGUGAAGCAGAUGCUACAUGAGGAAAAGGCGGCAGCCAUCAAAAGAUUAAUGAAAAAGGGACAAUUGCCUGCACAACUAACAGAAGUGGAUGAGAACGGUAACCGUUGGCCAACUAAGGAAGCUUUAAUUUCUGCAAAGAAAGUUGACUUUGGUACCGAUGUUGGUUGGCGUCUACUAUGUGAGCAUUGGAGUGGGGCUGAAUUUAGAGGGUUAUCCUUAAGAAACAAGAGGAACAGACUUGCUAAUGGGGAUACAGUCUUCCAUUCAGCGGUGCGAGAAAUGCUAUCGCCACACGUCAAUUCCUGA
rnacentral:rRNA from 1 species